AUUGAACGCUGGCGGCAUGCUUUACACAUGCAAGUCGAACGGUAACAGGUUAAGCUGACGAGUGGCGAACGGGUGAGUAAUGUAUCGGAACGUGCCCAGUCGUGGGGGAUAACGUAGCGAAAGCUACGCUAAUACCGCAUACGAUCUGAGGAUGAAAGCGGGGGACCGUAAGGCCUCGCGCGAUCGGAGCGGCCGAUGUCAGAUUAGGUAGUUAGUGGGGUAAAGGCCUACCAAGCCGACGAUCUGUAGCUGGUCUGAGAGGACUACCAGCCACCCUGGGGCUGGACCACGGCCCAGACUCCUACGGGAGGCAGCAGUGGGGAAUUUUGGACAAUGGGCGCAAGCCUGUUCCAGCAAUGCCGCGUGCAGGAAGAAGGCCUUCGGGUUGUAAACUGCUUUUGUACGGAGCGAAAAGGCUCUCUCUAAUACAGGGGGCUCAUGACGGUACCGUAAGAAUAAGCACCGGCUAACUACGUGCCAGCAGCCGCCGUAA
rnacentral:rRNA from 1 species